ACCUGGCCUGAGGCCGGGACCAUCCCUGGAGGCUGCCAUGUUCUCCCUGCCUUCCCUCCCCUCCUGGCUCCCUGGCCUCCCCUCCCUGGAGUGGGGUUCCAGCCUCCUUGACAGCCUCCUACAAGGUCUGAUUGGGGCCUUUGGAGUCUCGGUUCUGAACAGCUUCCUGAAAGUUUACUUCUUCGUGGCUUGUGCCAACGACCCCCAGCGGCAGCUUGAAAAGGAGCGGCUGCGAGCCCAGUGGGCUUCGCUGGAGACGGUGCACCUGGUGGGCUUGGCCCUGUUCCUAAGUGUGGUGGGGGCCCGGGUGGCCGCCCUGGUGGUCCUGGAGUUCUCCCUGCGGGCUGUGUCCACACUGCUGUCCCUGGGAAAGGGCUCCACCAACACAGAGCGGCUGCAACUCUAUUUGCUGUGCCAAUUCUCACUGGGCUGUGGGCUGACCUGCGGACUGAGCUUCCUGCAGGAGGGCGCCCCACACCGCACCCUGAACCUGCUCCUGAGCCUCGGCCUGGCCGCCCUGCUCAACUGGGGCUCCCGAUGCCUUCGCCGCCACAUCUUCUGUCUCUAUGAGUUACACAGCAGCCAGCGCUACUGCGGGGUCUGCCUGGGCCUGCUGGCCGGCCAGCAUGAUCUCCCCAGGUUCCUGGGCCGCACCUUGGCUGUGGCGUUUGUGGUGGGCGACCUGGCAGCUGUGGCUGUCAUCAACAAGGACUUCCUAAGCACAUCAGAGGCUGUUCGCUUCUGGACACCGCUCACCAUCUGCUAUACACUGCUGGUCAUCUACAUGCAAGGGAGCCAUGCCAGUGACGGACGCAUCCCGCAGAGGAGCAGCGGCAGCAGCGUUUCAGCCUGCAGAGCCAGGUCCAGACGGUGCUGGUGCGCAUGGGCGGCCUCUUCGUGCUGCUGCUGACCGUAGGCCGCUGGCUGGACCUCCUGGGCAUCCUUAUCUCCCUGCUGGGAGAGCUCUGGUGCCUCACAGGGGUCCGCACCCUGAUUGACCUCUGCCAGAUACAGGGCUUUCCUUCCCCAAGGGCAGCAUCAACAGCAAGGACAACUCCACACCAGCACCAGCCCUCCACACCUGCCCAGCCCCAGAGCCCAGCCCCCACCUGACCUGCUGCGCAGAGGACACAGACUGACCAGCAAGGCCUUGUCCCCGGGAUGUGGCAUGGAGACCAAGUGACAGGGUUGGACCCCGACUUAGAACUUGGCACAGAGGACCUGGGAGGGGGGGGGACAUGGUGAACUCCUCUUUGCUCAGGGUGACAAUGGAUACUGUUCCCUCAGACCUGUCUUUCCAGGCAGGGCUGGCAGAUGCAGGACAGCUAUACUCUCAGAAUGGCUUUCUUGCCCCUUACCCCAGCCCCCCCUUGCCCUUCCCACAAACAAUAAAGAUAAUUUUCUCAA